AGCCUGGUAACGUAUGCAAAUGACAAUUAUUACUAUCCAG
rnacentral:misc_RNA from 1 species